CUCCCUGUAGCUCAGUUGGUAGAGCAUGGUGUUUGCAACGCCAGGGUUGUGGGUUCGAUUCCCACGGGGGGGC
rnacentral:tRNA from 1 species